rnacentral:rRNA from 1 species
UAAACUUUUUCGAAUUUUUCGGAGAGUUUGAUCCUGGCUCAGAGUGAACGCUGGCGGCGUAGAUUAGGCAUGCAAGUCGAGCGAUCCUUUUUCUUGAACUGGUGAAGCCGUAAGGCUGAACUUGCUAAGGAAAAAGGAUAGCGGCAGAUUGGCGAGGAACACGUGAGUAAUCUACCUUCAAGUCAAGGAUAGCUUCGCGAAAGCGGAGGUAAUACCUGAUGUGUUUGUCUUGCCGCAAGGCAGGACAAGUAAAGAUGCUGCGCAAGCGGUGUCGUUUGAAGAUGAGCUCGCGUCUUAUCAGCUAGUUGGUAGGGUAAUGGCCUACCAAGGCUUUUGACGGGUAGCUGGCCUGAGAGGGUGGUCAGCCGCAUGGGGACUGAGACACUGCCCCAACUCCUACGGGAGGCUGCAGUCGAGGAUAUUUAGCAAUGGGGGAAACCCUGACUAUGUGACGCCGCGUGAGGGAUGAAGGCCUUCGGGUUGUAAACCUCUUUCGAUAGGGAAGAAACUUCUAUCUAACUAAUAGAACUGACGGUACCUAGAGAAGAAGCCAUGGCCAACUCUGUGCCAGCCCCGUAAAAAACGGGAGCUGGUGGCGCAGAGUCGCGAUAGUAAUAUCGCGAGAGAAAAUUUCGCUAUAUGCUGGGAACCCUAUGAAGUAUGCGCUGCGUACUCGACAUUUUUAAUGCUGAGUAUUUUUCAUAGGCAAUCAGCAGGCAACCUGCAGAAAUUUUGCAGAGAGUCCUCAGAGACUACACGCGAAACUCCACAUAAGUGGAUGAUGAUAUAGUCCAAACCGUUUAUACGGGGCCAGCAGCCGCGGUAAUACAGAGAUGGCGAGCGUUACUCGGAUUUAUUGGGUGUAAAGGGCAGGUAGGCGGCUAUGCAAGUUGGGGGUGAAAUCCUUGGGCUUAACCCAAGAACUGCCUUCAAAACUGCAUGGCUUGAGGCUAGAAGAGGAGAGCGGAAUUCCCGGUGUAAGAGUGAAAUCUGUAGAUAUCGGGAGGAACACCAGUGGCGAAAGCGGCUCUCUAGUCUGGCCCUGACGCUAAGCUGCGAAAGCUAGGGGAGCAAACAGGAUUAGAUACCCUGGUAGUCCUAGCCGUAAACGAUGAGCACUAGGUGUUGGAGGUUUACCUUCAGCGCCGCAAGUUAACACGUUAAGUGCUCCACCUGGGGACUACGACCGCAAGGUUAAAACUCAAAGGAAUUGACGGGGGCCCGCA